CUAAGGUAGCAUAAUAGUUCGUCCCUUAAUUGGGGAAAAGUAUGAAUGGUCGGAUGGUGGAAGUCUUUAUUAGAGGUAUUAGCUGAAAUUUACUUUCGAUGUGCAAAGGCUUGAAUGUGUUUAUUAGACGAGAAGACCCUGUUGAGCUUGGUACGUCACGGUCGUUAAGGGCGUGGUUUAUGUUUGUUCGGGGCUGAGAGGAAGGGACGAUUAUUCCUUCUUGGUUUUUAAGGAUCCAGCAUUGGCUGACAAGAAGAAGAUAGUUACCACAGGGAUAACAGCGCAAUCUUCCUGGCAAGAUCUUAUUUGAGGCUAGGGUUUGC
rnacentral:rRNA from 1 species